rnacentral:rRNA from 1 species
UUUAUUGGAGAGUUUGAUCCUGGCUCAGGAUGAACGCUGGCGGCGUGCCUAAUACAUGCAAGUCGAGCGAAUGGAUUGAGAGCUUGCUCUCAAGAAGUUAGCGGCGGACGGGUGAGUAACACGUGGGUAACCUGCCCAUAAGACUGGGAUAACUCCGGGAAACCGGGGCUAAUACCGGAUAAUAUUUUGAACUGCAUGGUUCGAAAUUGAAAGGCGGCUUCGGCUGUCACUUAUGGAUGGACCCGCGUCGCAUUAGCUAGUUGGUGAGGUAACGG